rnacentral:rRNA from 1 species
CGCGUAGGCGGCUCGGUAAGUCUGGAGUGAAAGUCCUGCUUUUAAGGUGGGAAUUGCUUUGGAUACUGUCGGGCUUGAGUGCAGGAGAGGUUAGUGGAAUUCCCAGUGUAGCGGUGAAAUGCGUAGAGAUUGGGAGGAACACCAGUAGCGAAGGCGACUAACUGGACUGUAACUGACGCUGAGGCGCGAAAGUGUGGGGAGCAAACA